rnacentral:rRNA from 1 species
AAUCAACGCUGGCGGCGUGCCUAACACAUGCAAGUCGAACGCGAAAGUCCCGCAAGGGAUGAGUAGAGUGGCAAACGGGUGAGUAACACGUGGGUGACCUGCCUUCGAGCGGGGGAUAACGUCCCGAAAGGGACGCUAAUACCGCAUGACAUCCUGCCUUUGAAGAGGUGGAGAUCAAAGCUGGGGAUCGCAAGACCUAGCACUUGAAGAGGGGCCCGCGUCUGAUUAGCUAGUUGGUGGGGUAACGGCUCACCAAGGCAACGAUCAGUAUCCGGCCUGAGAGGGCGGACGGACACACUGGGACUGAGACACGGCCCAGACACCUACGGGUGGCUG